rnacentral:rRNA from 1 species
CACCAAUGGAUGGUACUGCUCNGGNUGGGGUUCACUUUCUGGUGAGCCGGUAUGCUCUUCACUGGGUGUGCCGAGGAACCAGGACUUUUACUUUGAAAAAAUUAGAGUGUUUAAAGCAGGCCUAUGCUUGAAUACAUUAGCAUGGAAUAAUAGAAUAGGACUUUGGUUCUAUUUUGUUGGUUUCUAGGACCGAAGUAAUGAUUAAUAGGGAUAGUUGGGGGCAUUAGUAUUUAGUAGCUAGAGGUGAAAUUCUUGGAUUUAUGAAAGACUAACUUCUGCGAAAGCAUUUGCCAAGGAUGUUUUCAUUAAUCAAGAACGAAAGUUAGGGGAUCGAAGACGAUCAGAUACCGUCGUAGUCUUAACCAUAAACUAUGCCGACUAGGGAUCAGACGAUGUUACUUUACUGACUCGUUUGGCACCUUAUGAGAAGUCAAAGUUUUUGGGUUCCGGGGGGAGUAUGGUCGCAAGGCUGAAACUUAAAGGAAUUGACGGAAGGGCACCACCAGGAGUGGAGCCUGCGGCUUAAUUUGACUCAACACGGGGAAACUCACCAGGUCCAGACAUAGUAAGGAUUGACAGAUUGAGAGCUCUUUCUUGAUUCUAUGGGUGGUGGUGCAUGGCCGUUCUUAGUUGGUGGAGUGAUUUGUCUGCUUAAUUGCGUUAACGAACGAGACCUUAACCUGCUAAAUAGUUAUGCCAACUUUUGUUGGNAGUCAACUUCUUAGAGGGACUGUCGGC